UUUCUUAUCCAAUCAGGUACCCUAAGUCUUUUGAUUGGGGCAUUUAACCCAUUUAUAUUUAAAGUUAUUAUUUAUAUGUACUUAUUUAUUGCCAUUUUAAUACUGUAAGGCUAGGUUUCUCCCUCUGUGUCUUCUUCUCAUUUCCACCAUCUCUUUAGCAUUU